rnacentral:sRNA from 1 species
AUUAUCAAUAUGUAUAAGGGAAUCUUACAAAAUCUACCACUUUUUGCAAUGUGUCAUACAAUUUAUACCACAUUUCACUCAGGUUUACAGAAUCUACCACAUUUCAUUGUCACAUGCACAUUUGUGGACGAAAUUGCCCUUGAUAGUGACAGACUGAUGUGUCAGAUAAAGGACAAUUGGUGAUAGACUUUUUUUUGUCUCCAGAUCUUAUCCCCGAUUAGAAAUUCUCUGUUGUGUCUACGUCUUUUCCUCGAUUUCAUCAUCUUGCUCUAUUAUUAUGAAUCCCACAUCUUGUCCACCAAUUGUUCUCAUUUAAGGAUUUUAAAUUUUCUUUAGAUUUUUUGCCAUCUAUUUUGGUCCACAGAUUAGUUAAACAUUAUUGUCUUCACCUACACGUUUACAAUUGCAUAUAAUUUU